rnacentral:rRNA from 1 species
AGAGUUUGAUCAUGGCUCAGGACGAACGCUGGCGGCGUGCUUAACACAUGCAAGUCGAGCGAGGCCCUCCUUCGGGGGGUGCCCUAGCGGCGAACGGGUGAGUAACACGUGGGCAACCUGCCCUCAGCUCUGGGAUAACUCCAAGAAAUUGGUGCUAAUACCGGAUGUGACCGCUGACCGCAUGGUCUGGUGGUGGAAAGAUUCAUCGGCUGAGGAUGGGCCCGCGGCCUAUCAGCUUGUUGGUGGGGUGAUGGCCUACCAAGGCGACGACGGGUAGCCGGCCUGAGAGGGUGACCGGCCACACUGGGACUGAGACACGGCCCAGACUCCUACGGGAGGCAGCAGUGGGGAAUAUUGCGCAAUGGGCGAAAGCCUGACGCAGCGACGCCGCGUGAGGGAUGACGGCCUUCGGGUUGUAAACCUCUUUCAGUAGGGACGAAGCGCAAGUGACGGUACCUACAGAAGAAGCACCGGCCAACUACGUGCCAGCAGCCGCGGUAAUACGUAGGGUGCAAGCGUUGUCCGGAAUUAUUGGGCGUAAAGAGCUCGUAGGCGGUCUGUCACGUCGGCUGUGAAAACCCGAGGCUCAACCUCGGGCCUGCAGUCGAUACGGGCAAACUAGAGUACUGCAGGGGAGACUGGAAUUCCUGGUGUAGCGGUGAAAUGCGCGAUAUCAGGAGGAACACCGGUGGCGAAGGGGGUCUCUGGGCAGUAACUGACGCUGAGGAGCGAAAGCGUGGGGAGCGAACAGGAUUAGAUACCCUAGUAGUCC